AGUUAUUGAUGAGGCGCAUCGAUCAUAAGUAGAUAUAUUGAAGUCAUGUCUGCAAACAUUGUAUAUCGAAAGGGUGAGAUGCCGAAACGAACAGUAUUGCAGGUACUUGUUUGUUGGAUUCUCUGGUUAAGAGCUAAGAAUCUGUCAUUAUUGUUACAAUAAUGGAGUGCAUCACUUGUA
rnacentral:ncRNA from 1 species